AACGAACGCUGGCGGCAGGCUUAACACAUGCAAGUCGAGCGCCCCGCAAGGGGAGCGGCAGACGGGUGAGUAACGCGUGGGAAUCUACCCAUCUCUACGGAAUAACGCAUGGAAACGUGUGCUAAUACCGUAUACGUCCUUCGGGAGAAGGAUUUAUCGGAGAUGGAUGAGCCCGCGUUGGAUUAGCUAGGUGGUGGGGUAAAGGCCUACCAAGGAGACGAUCCAUAGCUGGUCUGGGAGGAUGAUCAGCCACACUGGGACUGAGACACGGCCCAGACUCCUACGGGAGGCAGCAGUGGGGAAUAUUGGACAAUGGGCGCAAGCCUGAUCCAGCCAUGCCGCGUGAGUGAUGAAGGCCCUAGGGUUGUAAAGCUCUUUCACCGGUGAAGAUAAUGACGGUAACCGGAGAAGAAGCCCCGGCUAACUUCGUGCCAGCCGCCGCAGUAAAAC
rnacentral:rRNA from 1 species